rnacentral:lncRNA from 1 species
UCUUUCUUUCUUCUUUCUUUCAAUCUUUCUUUCUUUAUUCUUUCUCUCUUUCUCUCUCUCUCUCUCUUUUGACACAGUCUCACUCCGUUGCCCAGGCUGGAGUGCAGAGACGCAAUCUCAGCUCACUGCAACCUCUGCCUCCCAGGUUCAAGCAAUUCUCCUGCCUCAGCCUCCUGAGUAGCUGGGAUUACAGGCACUCGCCACCACAUCUAGCUGAUUUUUGUUUUUUUAGUAGAGGUGGGGUUUUGCCAAGUGGCCAGGCUGGUCUCAAACUCCUGACCUCAGGUAAUCCGCCCACCUCUGCCUCCCAAAGUGCUGGGAUUACAAGCGUGAACUGCCACACCUGGCUCAUUCAUUCAUUUAUUCAUCUGUGUGAGGCAAACCACAAGUCAUCAGUGUCACAGCAAAACAAAAACAGACACACAACAGAAGAAACCACGCUGGUGAGGUCAGCAGGGGACAGGGAGACCCUCCCUGCAGGAGCUGCUGCUAGAGGGAAAGGCAGCGUUGGAUCCGAUGCCGGCCCCAGCCUGGGAGACCUGCUUCCUCUGCGGCCUGUGUUCAGGAGCGAAGUGUUGAGACCAGAAUUGUUCGGAUGCAGGGCUGGUCCCUGUUGAUUUAUGACUCAGGUGGAAGAUAGCGGAGACUAUGCAGGGAGGCUCAGCUGCACCUGACACACAACAGAGGUUCUCCAGGAACAGGAGAUGAAUGAGUACAAAAUCAAAGAGGUGAUUUCCCUCUUCCUCCAGGAGACAAACCCAGAAUUGCAAAGAUCCCUCGAUGAACUAAUGUAACCAUAUUAGGCAAACUGCACCCCCUUUUCUGUCUUUCGUUCUCCCCCAGGCACACUUGCCAGCUUCCUCUUUCUACGUCGUCCUGGGCAUAUCCAGCCUUCAUCAUGAAGUCGUGUCUAUUUUCCACUUGCACACUUUCCUGGAAGACUCUUGGACAGCGUAUCAAGAUCUCUCAUUUUCUGGCUUGAACUCACUGCAGACUCAUCUUGUGGCAAGGCUCACCACCCACCAUGCCGGGCCUUGUCAGUGCCCUGGGGCAGCGUGGAUGGGCCGCCCACGCUUUCAACUAACAGACGGCAGCAAAGGCCAUCACCUCCUUCUGAAGGAAUCAGAAGUUGGAACCAGGCCAGUGUAGGGUGGGACCAGAACUGAUGCCUGAACACAUGACCACAGACUGUCCUUGCUGUUGGAGAGCUGGGGACUGCGCCAUAGGAGGCUGUGUGGUUAUCGCCUAUGAGCCCCCAAGACCUUCAUUUCCUCAUCUGCCUUUACUUUGUGUCUCCUCUGAACGUGAUCCUGUGUUCUGGGUUUUUUUUUUUUUUUUUUUUUGAAAUGGCAGCAUUUCAAAUAUGCUGUUUUUUACCAUCAAUCAUUUCUUGCCAGCUGGGUGCAGCGGGUGACACCUGUUAUCCCAGCACUUUGGGAGGGUUGGGGGGGGGGGUGGAUCACAAGGUCAAGAGUUCGAGACCAGCCUGGCCAACAUGGUGAAACCCCGUCUCUACUAAAAAUACAAACAUUAGCCAGGCGUGGUGGCCCGUGCCUGUAGUUCCAGCUACUCGGGAGGCUGAGUUACACGACUUGCUUGAACCCAGGAGGUGGAGGUUGCAGUGAGCCAAGAUUGUUCCACUGCACUCCAGCCUGGGUGAUAGAAUGAGAAUCUGUCUCAAAAAAAGAAAAAAAAAAAAGAAAAAAUGUUUCUUGCCUUGGUUUGAGUUGCCAGAAGCAAACUCUCGAUCAAGGGUUCGUGUAUCUGGGAGGUGAUCCCUGGCCACGCCUGUAGGAGGGUGGGAGGGGAGGCAUGGAAGGGAAGGGCCCAUUGAGGGCAUGUGAUCCCAACCAGCGCCAUUCAGGGCAUUUGGACCCAAAUCCCACUGGGGGCCCUGGACAACAGUUACCCCAGCUCCCUUCAGUCAGUGGCCGAGAGAUGUUCAGGGACAGCUGUGGCUGGGACCUGAUGAUCCACCAGCUCUGGGGCAAGGCACAGUCAGGCACAUUGAUGCCUCCUGGGCUCCAAGGGGCACCGUAGGAGGCUCAGGUGGUUGGGGGUGCUCCCAGGACAGAGGUGAGUGCUCCCAGGAGCAUGGAGGGGUGGGACUUUGAGAGUUACGCCAGGAAUCUGGGCAGGGAUCCUGCACGCCAAGGUGAGAGAAGCCAGAGCAGUACCAGGACCCAAGCCUCCUCUGGUGCCAGGCCCUGGCUGCACUACUCCUGUUCCCGCUCCUGUGCCCCUGCGAGGAGGACAUGCUGUUUACUGCUACUUGAGGCUCAAAGAGGGUAUCUAUGACCUGUCAGUGAACGGACCAGAGUAUAGGGAAGUGGAUGGGAGAGGGGCUGGAGGGGCAGGGCAGCUGCUGAGGGGCCUUGCUUGUCAUGGUAAGUGCCACUGUGUGAUGCUGGGUCCUGGACUCUGAAAGCCAGGGAGAAACACUUGCCUGGACUUUAUCCUAUAGGUGGGCAGUAUCCACCGAGGGCUUUGUUCAGAGCAUAGAGUGAUAAAAACUGGGCUUUGGGCCAGCAGAAGGCCGUGAAUGAGGUUCCCAUCACCUGUGCCCUACCUCGCCUUGGCUGUCCACUGGUCAAUCGCCUCCUGGGGCUGUCCCCACAGAACUCUGCCAGCAUCCCUGGCAAGCAUGUGUUUGGCAUGGGCUCGUGGCCAGGUGUGCUUGUGUACACAUGUGUGAGCAGUGAUGCAUAUCAGAGCCCCUGAGAUGCAUAUUUUCUUCAAGAUCAGAUACAGAGAUGUGAACUCACAGAGCUCCGUGGGGAGCAGGGAGGGGACUGAACAUGAGUGAUAUUAGCCAAACCCAACUCCCACUUUAUUUUUUCAUGCCUGCAAAUAAUAAUACCUUUUCAGUCUUGUGAAACCUGGUACUCUAGGAAAAAGACACAGAGGUUUAAGAAGCCCUGAGUACGGUUUUGGCCAAGCACCCCUUCCUAGAUUCCUCUCCAGCAUUCUGAGACUUGGAGAGAAGAGAGGGAGAAGGCUCCAGCUGUCAUUCUCUGUAUUGUCCAUUUCUUCUCCCCGGUUCCACAUUCAUUCCCUAACAUCCCUCUGCAAGUUGCUUUUCAUUUAAACACCGCACGUAAAAGCACAGUGUCUGGUUUGGGUAGCACAGGUCGUCUAUUGCAAAAGGAUGUCUAAGAGGGAUGACUAGAGUGUGCUUUGGGGGAUUUGCCAAGGGGGCCUGAAACCAAGGAACAGAUACAAAGCCUGUGGGACCUGUGAAGCCCUAAGCUGGAAACAGCAGUUAGGGGAGAAAGAUCUUUGAUAUAUUCCAAUCAGACCAAGUCAAGAUGAGCUCAAAGUCACGUCUUGAUACAUGUCUGAAAAGACAAAAGUCUGUCUUUAAUCCUGUAUCUUUCUCUGUUAAAACUUUUCUUAUUUGUUUAUUUAUUUAUUUAUUAGACGGAGUCUUGCUUUGUCACCCAGGCUGGAGCGCAGUGGCACAAUCUCGGCUCACGGCAACCUCUACCUCUCGGGUUCAAGCAAUUCUCCUGCUUCAGCCUCCUGAGUAGCUGAGAUUAUAGGUGUGCAUCACCACGCCUGGCUAAUUUUUUCUUUUCUUUUUUUGUAUUUUCAGUAGAGACAGAGUUUUGCCAUGCUGGCCAGGCUGGUCUCAAACUCCUGACCUCAAGUGAUCUGCCCACCUCGGUCUCCUAAAGUGCUGAGAUUAUAGGUGUGAGCCACCGUGCCAUGCCCAGCCUUCUCCUUUAUUUUAAAGCAACUCCUUUUCCCUACAUCCUUGGCCCUCCCCACCAUCCACCCAUCUGUGACCUUGUGGACCCUUAGCUCCCCUGCUCCACCAAAACUUAUUCAAAGGAAAAAGAAAGAAAAAGAAAAAAAUGGAUGUCAGUCAUUUACAUGUUAGUAUACAUAAGCUAUGGAAGCUAUGGAAGGAUUCCGUCUCUGGGCUGAGCUUGGCCUUUUGGUACCAGUUGUUUCAGGGCUUGACCCAGCAGGUGAGCUGUAGCUGAGCCUGUCUAUAGCUGUGUUGGCUCCUGCCUGGGGUAGAUGUAAACACUUUUUCAGUUGCAAACUCAUCAAAGGUGUUUGUGCACACAUGUGUGCAUGUGCGUUGUGUCCACGCCUGUGUGCCUGAAACCCUGCCCGGGUCGCCCUCCAGAAAGGAAGCAAGUGUGCAUUCACACAUUGGAACAAGCCAGCCAUGUCUCUCCGUAACAGGAGAGGAAGCGGGGACUCCAGCAUGUUUUUUUUAAAUGGUAGUGGGCACUGACUCAAAGAUGCCUGUUAAGAAAAACUCCAUGUUCAUCUCUCUGCUGACUCGUUUGGUGAGAAUUACAAACCCAGAUGCCAACAUGUGGCCAACCGCAUGACCCUGCACUGAGGAAUAAAAGACAGGAUCAUCUGAGUUCUUAUGUGAACAAACAACAGAGAUUCAGUUACAUUUUCUCUCCGUGUUUUUUUUUUUUUUAUGUCAGGGAUUUCAGCAGCUCCAGAUUAGGCAUUCUGUGUGACACUCUUGUGUCAGCAGCUCCAGAUUGGAGGGAAGAGGCCACACGCUGGCACCUCUGUG